rnacentral:rRNA from 1 species
GACGAACGCUGGCGGCGUGCUUAACACAUGCAAGUCGAACGAGGUCCAUCCGGUGGCAACAUCGGGGACGACCUAGUGGCGAACGGGUGAGUAACACGUGAGGAACCUGCCCCGAAGACCGGGAUAACCCUCCGAAAGGAGGGCUAAUACCGGAUACCCUCCUCCGAUCGCAUGGUCGGUUGAGGAAAUGGAUUCUGCUUUGGGAGGGUCUCGCGGCCUAUCAGCUUGUUGGUGGGGUAACGGCCUACCAAGGCGACGACGGGUAGCUGGUCUGAGAGGACGAUCAGCCACACUGGGACUGAGACACGGCCCAGACUCCUACGGGAGGCAGCAGUGGGGAAUCUUGCGCAAUGGGCGAAAGCCUGACGCAGCAACGCCGCGUGCGGGAUGACGGCCUUCGGGUUGUAAACCGCUUUCAGUGGGGACGAAAUCAGACGGUACCCACAGAAGAAGCCCCGGCCAACUACGUGCCAGCCGCCGCAGUAAAAC